ACCUGUCUCUAUGAUGAUAAAUGUUGAUAACCUACCUGAUUGCAGCAGAUCGACAGAAGAUGGCCCCAAUUGGGUCAAAGUGAAUUGGGCUAAACAAUCUAAAGAGGAUGUCAUGUUUUAUUGUGGGAGGACAGAUGUUCUCUUAAGGGAAGUACAGCUACCCAUGGAUGCUAUUUUAUGUUCAAAUAUUAACUGUGAUGAUGACACUCACUGUAAUGACCUAUGUGAAAUGUACAAUAGUAUAGUGAGUGCUAUAUAUGAGGCCAGUAGACCUCUACACACUCACCCCAGAAAGGUUAAGAAUACCAAGCCUGGUUGGACAAAGUAUGUAGCUGCCCAUCAAGAAGCCGCUAAGACAGCUCAUAGAGCCUGGGUUAUAGCUGGUAGACCCAGACAGGGGCCAGAAUUACAGCAUAAGAAACUUACAAAUGCUAGAUACAAAUAUGCAGUGCACUUUGUUGGGAAGCAUGAGCAAGCCUUAAGAGCUCAUUCUAUGGCUGAAAACUUGCUUGGUAACAAUGUCACUGAGUUCUGGAAAGAGGUAAAAGCUACAAAUAGGGCCAAAGCAGUACUGCCAUGCCACAUUGAAGGGGUAUCUGGUGGAGACAAUAUAGCAGAGCAGUGGAGGCUGCACUACGCAGCUCUGUUUAAUUGUAUUAAAAGUGAGCCUUAUUGUGUGGGCAAGUUAAAGGAGGAAGUGAUUCAUUUUACUCCCAGCGAGGUUUAUCAUGUUAUAGAGCAACUAGCUGAUAACAAAGCUAGUGGCAAGGAUAACAUCACUGCGGAGCACCUUAAGUUAGCCAGCCCCAGGGUAGCAGCUCUAUUGUCCAUCUGCCUCACAGGGCUGAUGACACAUGGCAUACUGCCAGACACCAUGUUGACAGUCACAUUUGUGCCAGUCAUUAAGGAUAAGGCAGGUAAAAUAGGGAGUUUGGACAACUAUAGACCCAUCGCCUUAGCCAGCAUUCUUUCAAAGGUGUUAGAAAAGAUGCUACUAGAUAGACUGAGUGAGUUCAUUUACACCACAGAAAAUCAAUUUGGUUUUAAGGCCAAGCACAGUACAGAUCUAUGUAUCUAUGCCUUGAAAGAAGCUGUUGAAUCCUACAGAAGGCAGGGUUCUACAAUAUUUCUAGGGUUUAUUGAUGCCUCCAAGGCAUUUGACAGGGUAAAUCACCAUAAGCUUUUUACUAAACUCAAGCUUAGGGGUGUGCCUGGAUGCAUCAUACGUAUCCUGGUUUACUGGUAUGCCAAACAACAUAUGCAAGUUAAAUGGGGAAACAGCCUAUCCUCACCCUUCAGUGUAGGCAAUGGAGUACAGCAGGGGGACUUCUGUCUCCAGCCCUGUUCAACCUAUACAUGGACAGCCUGUCGAAACAGUUGGGGAAGUGUAAGACAGGUUGUCUGAUAGGGAACACUCUGUUAAACCAUCUGAUGUAUGCAGAUGAUUUGGCUAUUAUGUCCCCCAGCACUGUUGGGUUCCAGCAGCUGUUCGAUAUAUGCUCUGAGUAUGGGGUUGAGUUUGAUGUAAAGUACAAUGCAAAAAAGAGUGUUGUAUUGAUAUGUAGGACCAAGGAGGAUCAGAAGCUGCAUUUUCCAAUGUUUUACCUGUCAGGGCAAUCCCUCUGUGUAUCUUACUGUACGAAAUAUCUUGGGCACAUCAUCACUGACAGGUUGGAAGAUGAUGCAGAUAUGUAUAGGCAGAGACGAAUGUUGUAUGUUCAAGCAAACAUAUAUGUAUAUAUAUAGGCUACUGACAAUAUCUGAUCGGAUUCACUAUAAAACUGUAUUUAUUAUGUUUUUUGUGCCAACCACACAGCUUUGUCCAAUACACUAGAUGUUCUUAAGUUCGGUUUACUUAAAAUGUUUAGUUUAACUACCGCAUCCAACUGAAAGUUCAUAUAACACAGCCUAAUCG
rnacentral:lncRNA from 12 species